rnacentral:tRNA from 1 species
UGGGAUGUAGGCAAGUGGUAAGCCAGCGGGUUUUGGGUCCGCCAUUCGUAGGUUCGAAUCCUGCCAUCCCAG